UUUUAUCUUAAUUGUUUUUUAUUUUGUUGUGUGUUUGUUUGCCUUCAAUUUGUACUUGAGUAUUUAGGAAUAAUUUUACUUGAGUAUUUAGGAAUAAUUUAACUUAUAAGUUUUUUGUAUUCUAAUGUUACUUCUUGCGCAACGUGUUUUAAUAAUUUUCUAAAAAGUAUAUCAGCGUAAUUUGUUUAAAAUGGAUCAAGUUAGGGUAUUUUUGAAUGUUUAUCUGAUAAAUUCAGAUAGGUUUACUUAGAUAUUCUUUUGUUUUUAUCUGUGGCUGAAGGUAUUCGGGUUGCAUGUAAAUAAACAGAAUUAUUGUAUUUGUUGAUCUUUGAGUAUAUAAAUUAAAUUUAAAACGAAUAUUUUUAUUAUAAGGUUGCAUGCUUUUAAGGUAUUUUUGCACGUUUGCAUGCGUCUAAGGCAUUUACGUCUAAAUAUGUUCCACUAGUGACUAUACUCACUUAUUCUAGUUGCGAACCUGAUAUGUAAAGAGAACAUGAUAAGACUAGACUGAGCGAGACUAAGAACCAUUAUUUACGAACACACAGAUUCAAAGCAAUAAAAACACUAAAUGACACAUAAAACUUUAACGUUUAGAACAAUACAAACACAAAACACAAUAACUUACAGAACACUGCAACAACACGUACUUAAAUCUAACAUGACCACCACUUACUUAACUCAAACUUAAUUACUGAAUAGUACCCUUCUUUUAAACAACAACUCUUAAUUCUGGACAUCUGUCCAAAUAUUAUAAUUUAUCUUGCACUUCCUUGCACUUAUAUAAAAUAUUUCUUGCUUCUCUUAAGACUAUUACGGCCUGAUGGUUCCAUAUAAGUGGUGGAACUUUAAUAGCUUCCACUGCGAAACAAUAACAAAAUCACUACUUACUUUUUAUGCGUUCUGAUUGAUUUGUUUUAAAACAAUUUGUUGCAGCUUUUUUUUAAAUUACAUUUUUUCAUACAAUAACAGUCAAAAUAAGCGGUAAACAAGAAUGAAUUUAACAACAUUCAGAUCUCACCUUCAGAUCUUACCUUUAAUAUUUUUUCGAUUUUAGAUUAUUUUCCGUAAACCUGAUGGCGAAUAUGAACAUUAAAGGGAGUAAACGUAAAGGCAGAGAAAACAAAAUAUCGUUUGAAAACCUUAAGUUAAAGGACGUUAUGUUUGAAGCGUUACAAGACAGGUAUACCGUUAGUGAAAAAGAAUUAUUUAGAGUUGUCGGGAAUAAACUAAAGAAUGCACCAGGAAGAUUGAACCAUUCCAUUGAUAUCUAACAUUUAUAUUAUAUUAUAUGUAUAUAGUUUAUGUUAUAGUAUAUAGUUACUUUUUUUAAAUAAAUAAACAAUAAUAUUAUACAA